AUCCAGCUGACGAGUUUCAAAUAGGAGGAAACGCGUGGCCUGCAU
rnacentral:hammerhead_ribozyme from 1 species